AUACGUAGGUGGCAAGCGUUGUCCGGAUUUACUGGGCGUAAAGGAUGCGUAGGCGGAUAUUUAAGUGAGAUGUGAAAUCCCUAAGCUUAACUUAGGUGCUGCAUUUCAAACUGGGUAUCUAGAGUGCAGGAGAGGAGAAUGGAAUUCCUAGUGUAGCGGUGAAAUGCGUAGAGAUUAGGAAGAACACCAGUGGCGAAGGCGAUUCUCUGGACUGUAACUGACGCUGAGGCAUGAAAGCGUGGGUAGCAAACAGGAUUAGAUACCCUGGUAGUCCACGCCGUAAACGAUGAGUACUAGGUGUAGGAGGUCUAAGCCUUCUGUGCCGCAGUUAACACAAUAAGUACUCCGCCUGGGAAGUACGAUCGCAAGAUUAAA
rnacentral:rRNA from 1 species